AACGACCAGGCUAGCGACAUUCUUUUUUGAUGAACUUGGGACUUCAACUAUGUGGUUCCAAGACAUGAUGGCGUCUUAUGCAGUUGAGUGUCAAGGAUUGAGUGGUCUAAAGUCUCGGAAUCAUCAUUCCGUACUUAAGCCUUCACAAAAACAGAAUGCCUCAAACAUUUGCCCAUUACAGGCAAAUGCUGAGAGGAGGUUUACCUUAACUUUGUAUCCUCGCAGC
rnacentral:lncRNA from 1 species